rnacentral:rRNA from 1 species
GAUGAACGCUGGCGGCGUGCCUAAUACAUGCAAGUCGAGCGAACGGACGAGAAGCUUGCUUCUCUGAUGUUAGCGGCGGACGGGUGAGUAACACGUGGAUAACCUACCUAUAAGACUGGGAUAACUUCGGGAAACCGGAGCUAAUACCGGAUGAUAUUUUGAACCGCAUGGUUCAAAAGUGAAAGACGGCCUUGCUGUCACUUAUAGAUGGAUCCGCGCUGCAUUAGCUAGUUGGUAAGGUAACGGCUUACCAAGGCAACGAUGCAUAGCCGACCUGAGAGGGUGAUCGGCCACACUGGAACUGAGACACGGUCCAGACUCCUACGGGAGGCAGCAGUAGGGAAUCUUCCGCAAUGGGCGAAAGCCUGACGGAGCAACGCCGCGGGAGUGAUGAAGGUCUUCGGAUCGUAAAACUCUGUUAUUAGGGAAGAACAUAUGUGUAAGGAACUGUGCACAUCUUGACGGUACCUAAUCAGAAAGCCACGGCUAACUAC